AACCACUGUUUGUGGAAGAUGACACCUUUGUAAUAACUCCAGACAAAUUGCUAGACAAUUUCAAUGUUCAUUUUAGUGAAAGGCAACAUGAAAAAAUCAAAGAAUCCACUACAUAUAAGCACUUUUGUGACUUCAUAGAAGAGCUUGGAUAUGCUGGUAUAAAAGAGCACAAUUUAGAAUUAAAGCAUCUUUUCCGUUUUAUGACUGGAUCAUACACAAUGCCCCCCCUAGGAUUUUGGAAACUAUGAAAGUGGAAUUUGUUCACGGUUGUCCUGAAAAUUGCAAGUGCUGCCUAACAGCAUCAACAUGCCAACUUUCAAUAAAUAUUCCAGUGCAUGCUAAUACAGGGGAAAUGAUGAGAGAGCUGAUGACAUCAGCUUUGCUUGAGGGAUAUGGAUUUGGAAAAAUAUGAGAACAAUGCCAGUCAGUCCUGUUUCAUCCAAAAGGAAAUGUUUUUAAAGAUUUUUUCACAUACUCUCUGAACUGUUUUGUUGCAAUUUGCAUCUGCAUAAUCUAUUCCAAUGAUGAAACUAAUAUACCAAGGUUUAAUUUUGAAAAUAAUUUGAA